rnacentral:snRNA from 1 species
AAUGUAGGCAAGGGAAGU